GAUGAACGCUGGCGGCGUGCCUAAUACAUGCAAGUCGAGCGAACGGACGAGAAGCUUGCUUCUCUAAUGUUAGCGGCGGGCGGGUGAGUAACACGUGGAUAACCUACCUAUAAGACUGGGAUAACUUCGGGAAACCGUAGCUAAUACCGGAUAAUAUUUUGAACCGCAUGGUUCAAAAGUGAAAGACGGUCUUGCUGUCACUUAUAGAUGGAUCCGCGCUGCAUUAGCUAGUUGGUAAGGUAACGGCUUACCAAGGCAACGAUGCAUAGCCGACCUGAGAGGGUGAUCGGCCACACUGGAACUGAGACACGGUCCAGACUCCUACGGGAGGCAGCAGUAGGGAAUCUUCCGCAAUGGGCGAAAGCCUGACGGAGCAACGCCGCGUGAGUGAUGAAGGUCUUCGGAUCGUAAAACUCUGUUAUUAGGGAAGAACAUAUGUGUAAGUAACUGUGCACAUCUUGACGGUACCUAAUCAGAAAGCCACGGCUAACUACGUG
rnacentral:rRNA from 1 species